rnacentral:rRNA from 1 species
AAAGUAAGCUGGCGGCAUGCCUUACACAUGCAAGUCGAACGGCAGCACGGGUGCUUGCACCUGGUGGCGAGUGGCGAACGGGUGAGUAAUACAUCGGAACAUGUCCUGUAGUGGGGGAUAGCCCGGCGAAAGCCGGAUUAAUACCGCAUACGAUCUAUGGAUGAAAGCGGGGGACCUUCGGGCCUCGCGCUAUAGGGUUGGCCGAUGGCUGAUUAGCUAGUUGGUGGGGUAAAGGCCUACCAAGGCGACGAUCAGUAGCUGGUCUGAGAGGACGACCAGCCACACUGGGACUGAGACACGGCCCAGACUCCUACGGGAGGCAGCAGUGGGGAAUUUUGGACAAUGGGCGAAAGCCUGAUCCAGCAAUGCCGCGUGUGUGAAGAAGGCCUUCGGGUUGUAAAGCACUUUUGUCCGGAAAGAAAUCCUUGGCUCUAAUACAGUCGGGGGAUGACGGUACCGGAAGAAUAAGCACCGGCUAACUACGUGCCAGCAGCCGCGGUAAUACGUAGGGUGCAAGCGUUAAUCGGAAUUACUGGGCGUAAAGCGUGCGCAGGCGGUUUGCUAAGACCGAUGUGAAAUCCCCGGGCUCAACCUGGGAACUGCAUUGGUGACUGGCAGGCUAGAGUAUGGCAGAGGGGGGUAGAAUUCCACGUGUAGCAGUGAAAUGCGUAGAGAUGUGGAGGAAUACCGAUGGCGAAGGCAGCCCCCUGGGCCAAUACUGACGCUCAUGCACGAAAGCGUGGGGAGCAAACAGGAUUAGAUACCCUGGUAGUCCACGCCCUAAACGAUGUCAACUAGUUGUUGGGGAUUCAUUUCCUUAGUAACGUAGCUAACGCGUGAAGUUGACCGCCUGGGGAGUACGGUCGCAAGAUUAAAACUCAAGGAAUUGACGGGGACCCGCAC